CCCAUCGCCUCCAUCAUAUAAAGAUCCAUUAGCCUUUGGUUCUCCACCAAGGCCACCUCCAUGGCAUCCAGACCCAGACCCAACUGGGAUAGGACCUUGAACCCGGGUCCACCUUCCCCGACUCAACUCGUUCCGAGCCCGAAUCGCUCUUAGCUUUCUCCGACGAGCGUCGUCGGGUCACUUUGGACGGCUUCUGCCACCCAUCGGAGUCUGGUGGUGAACCCAACGAGCUCUCCGUAGGCUAAGGGGAGCUAGGGCGGGAAGGAGAAGAGUUGGGAGUCGAGGAAUCGGGAUUGGAGUCCACCAUCCCCUUGGGUUUCACCGGAACCCUAACUGGUCGAGGCUGCCGAAUCCGGGAGGUGGCCAUCCACGGUCCCAUCCGCGGCGGGGUCACAGUUGCCAGCACUUCGCUCGCUGCUUCCCCCUCCACUGCCAUAAAGUUCUCCGGUCGCAAAAGAUGGCCACCCUCCUUCUCUUCCGACGGGAAAUGACAUUCCUCAUCGGAGUGCCCAAUCCGGCCACAACGAUAACAGAUGGCCGGCACGUUUUCGUACACGAACGCUUGCCAGAAGACUUCUUGGUGGCUCCGGAUCAAGACUCCCAGCUUCAAGGGUUCACCGGUAUCGAUCUCAACCCGGAACCUAGCAAACCCAGUUUUCCAACAGCGGUAUGUGGACUCAUCCGCCGCCACUGGCUUUUCCGCCUCCGUCACUAUCCCUUUCAGCAUCUCAGACCCCCAAAACACCAUUGGAAGGCUGAGCAGCAGAACCCAAACAACAGUUCUUCGCACCACCUUCACCGCCAACAUGAAUCCCGACACCCACGGCUCAACCGCCAGGAGCUGACCGGCGACAAACCAUUGCCCCCCACAGAGAGCCCCCUCGCAGUCCGUCGCCACCUGGAACGGAUUAAGUGAUGGUCUUCCGCCAAGAUGAAGGCCUCCGGAUCGUACCCAAGUUUGCCCCAUUCCUUGACUUCUUUCGCAAUCCACUCCGACGGCACUCACCGGCCAAGACUGUGCACCAGGACGGACACACCCUCCCACUGCAUCCGAGCCGCCAUCAUUGCCUCCUCUGAAAAUUCGAGCACCUUCAAAAAAUACCUUUGAAGCUGUUCCAGCUCCUCCGGCGAAAUCCGAUGCUCCAUCCAGCGGGGCUGCCGUGGCGGCCCCUGCACCACUCGAGACCAAGAUUUCUCAACCCCGCUUGGCUCGGGCGAUGAUCGAUCACCCCCACUCCAGUUCUCCCCUUUGUUCGCCAUUCCCAAACCACAACGCCACAGCAUCCACCCACUGUUUGACAAAAAACCCCAGAGAUCAAGUGAUUUAAAGAUGCAUUAGCUAAACACACCCCAGAGAGGUGCAGCCGUGGGCAUCCAAGGGUCUCGAGGAAAAAGAGCUCUUGGCUUUGGCUGCAAACAAAGAUCUCUCUUUCCAUGGCUCAGAGAAAACAUUGCUUCUUCUCACGACACAUGAUAUCGCAACUCCCAGAAGCCCCAAAUUCCCAGCCUCUCUGAUUCUAGUAGCCGUCAGAUAUUCUGAAGACAAGAAUCUUGUCACUGCUUAGAUUUGAUGGUGGUGGACAAGAUUCCACUUUUUUGAGAAUUUUCUUCAUUAUAUUUAUUGAAAAUGAUUUGGAAUUGUAGGA